rnacentral:rRNA from 1 species
UCGGGAAUUUUGGGCAAUGGGCGAAAGCCUGACCCAGCAACGCCGCGUGAGGGAUGAAGUAUUUCGGUAUGUAAACCUCGAAAGAAUGGGAAGAAUAAAUGACGGUACCAUUUAUAAGCUCCGGCUAACUACGUGCCAGCAGCCGCGGUAAUACGUAGGGAGCAAGCGUUGUUCGGAUUUACUGGGCGUAAAGGGCGCGUAGGCGGCGCGGUAAGUCACUUGUGAAAUCUCUGAGCUUAACUCAGAACGGCCAAGUGAUACUGCUGUGCUAGAGUGCGGAAGAGGCAACCGGAAUUCGUGGUGUAGCGGUGAAAUGCGUAGAUAUCAGGAGGAACACCUGAGGCGAAGGCGGGUUGCUGGGCCGACACUGACGCUGAUGCGCGAAAGCCAGGGGAGCAAACG